UACAGAGGUGGCAAGCGUUGUUCGGAAUUACUGGGCGUAAAGGGCGCGUAGGCGGCCUUCUAAGUCAGACGUGAAAUCCCCAGGCUUUACUUGGGAACUGCGUCUGAUACUGGGAGGCCUGAGUGCGGGAGAGGGAUGUGGAAUUCCAGGUGUAGCGGUGAAAUGCGUAGAUAUCUGGAGGAACACCGGUGGCGAAGGCGGCAUCCUGGACCGACACUGACGCUGAGGCGCGAAAGCUAGGGGAGCAAACGGG
rnacentral:rRNA from 1 species